rnacentral:rRNA from 1 species
UUGAUCCUGGCUCAGGAUGAACGCUAGCGGCAGGCUUAAUACAUGCAAGUCGAGGGGCAGCGCGGGUAGCAAUACUUGGCGGCGACCGGCAAACGGGUGCGGAACACGUACGCAACCUUCCCAAAACUGGGGAAUAGCCCUCCGAAAGGAGGAUUAAUACCCCGUAACACAAUUAAGAGGCAUCUCUUGAUUGUUAUAGCUCAGGCGGUUUUGGAUGGGCGUGCGGCUGAUUAGGUAGUUGGCGGGGUAACGGCCCACCAAGCCAUCGAUCAGUAACUGGUGUGAGAGCACGGCCAGUCACACGGGCACUGAGACACGGGCCCGACUCCUACGGGAGGCAGCAGUAAGGAAUAUUGGUCAAUGGACGCAAGUCUGAACCAGCCAUGCCGCGUGAAGGAUGAAGGCCCUCUGGGUUGUAAACUUCUUUUAUCUGGGACGAAAAAAGGGGAUUCUUCCUCACUUGACGGUACCAGAGGAAUAAGCACCGGCUAACUCCGUGCCAGCAGCCGCGGUAAUACGGAGGGUGCAAGCGUUAUCCGGAUUCACUGGGUUUAAAGGGUGCGUAGGUGGGCAGGUAAGUCAGUGGUGAAAUCUUCGAGCUUAACUCGGAAACUGCCAUUGAUACUAUCUGUCUUGAAUAUCCUGGAGGUGAGCGGAAUAUGUCAUGUAGCGGUGAAAUGCUUAGAUAUGACAUAGAACACCAACUGCGAAGGCAGCUCACUACGGGAUGAUUGACGCUGAGGCACGAAAGCGUGGGGAUCAAACAGGAUUAGAUACCCUGGUAGUCCACGCCCUAAACGAUGGAUACUCGACAUAUGCGAUACACUGUAUGUGUCUGAGCGAAAGCAUUAAGUAUCCCACCUGGGAAGUACGACCGCAAGG